UAGUCCACGCAGUAAACGAUGUGUGCUAGUUGUCAGGUCUUAGGAUCUGGUGACGGAGCGAAAGUUUUAAGCACACCGCCUGGGGAGUACGGCCGCAAGGCUAAAACUCAAAGGAAUUGACGGGGACCCGCACAAGCGGUGGAGCAUGUUCUUUAAUUCGAAGCAACGCGAAGAACCUUACCCACACUUGACAUACUAGUCGGGGAUUACAGAGAUGUUUUCCUUCGGUUCGGCCGGACUAGAUACAGGUGCUGCACGGCUGUCGUCAGCUCGUGUCGUGAGAUGUUUGGUUAAGUCCAGCAACGAGCGCAACCCUUAUCGUUUCUUGCCAGCGGGUAAUGCCGGGAACUGUAACGAGACUGCCGGUGAUAAGCCGGAGGAAGGCGGGGACGACGUCAAGUCAUCAUGGCCCUUACGUGUGGGGCUAGAAACGUGCUACAAUGGUAGUGACAGUGGGCAGCUAGAUCGCGAGAUCGUGCUAAUCUCUAAAAACUAUCCCAGUUCGGAUUGUUCU
rnacentral:rRNA from 1 species